UACGUAGGGCGCGAGCGUUGUCCGGAAUUAUUGGGCGUAAAGGGCGCGUAGGCGGCCUGGCAAGUGGAAGGUGAAAUCCCUCGGCUUAACCGAGGAACUGCCCUCCAAACUGCUUGGCUUGAGUCCGGGAGAGGUGAGUGGAAUUCCCAGUGUAGCGGUGAAAUGCGUAGAUAUUCGGAAGAACACCAGUGGCGAAGGCGACUUACUGGACACAUAUUGACGCUGAGGUGCGAAAGCGUGGGGAGCAAACAGG
rnacentral:rRNA from 1 species